CCUCAAUGGCUUCAACUUCCUCCCUCGCUCUCUCUCAAGCCCUCCUCGCUCGCGCCAUCUCCCACCAUGGCUCUGACCAACGCAUCUCCUUACCAUCACCUUUCUCACGCGCCUCCGCCUCCUCCCGCCGCCGCAGCAACGCCGCCACGACCAAACUCCGCUCUCUCCGCCCCCUCGUUGUUCGCGCCGCGGCCGUCGAUACGCUAGAGCCGACCACCGACGCCUCUAUCGUGGACAAAUCUGUGAACACGAUCAGGUUCUUGGCCAUCGACGCGGUGGAGAAGGCGAAGUCGG
rnacentral:lncRNA from 1 species